UUAAAUUAGUAAGAGCGUACGGUGGAUGUCUUGGCAUAUAGAGCAGAAGAAGGACGCAGAUAACGGCGAAACGCCUCGGGGAGUCGUACACAGGCAACGAUCCGGGGGUAUCCGAAUGGGGAAACCCGAUAAAGUUGAAAAGCUUUAUCAUCCUUAAGCCAAUACAUAACUUAAGAGAAGGCAACCCAGGGAAUUGAAACAUCUUAGUACCUGGAGGAGAAGAAAAUAACAAUGAUUCCGAGAGUAGUGGCGAGCGAAAUCGGAGCAGCCCAAACCAGCAACGAGCUGGGGUAGUAGGACCACAGAAAGUGAUUGAAAAGAGAUAGUCGAAUGGCAUUGAAAGGUCAGCCGCAGAAGGUGCAAGCCCUGUAGGCGAAAUCUCGAUUCACGCGAGUGGUAUCCUGAGUACGUCGGAGCACGUGAAACUCUGACGGAAUCAACCGGGACCAUCCGGUAAGGCUAAAUACUCCUAUAUGACCGAUAGUGAACCAGUACCAUGAGGGAAAGAUGAAAAGAACCGCGGGAGCGGAGUGAAAUAGAUCCUGAAACCGUAUGCUUACAAAAAGUCAGAGCACAUUAAGGUGUGAUGGCGUGCCUUUUGUAGAAUGAACCGGCGAGUUAUCUUUGCAUGCGAGGUUAAGCAGACAAUGCGGAGCCGUAGCGAAAGCGAAUCUUAAUAGGGUGGCAAGUAUGUAGAGAUAGACCCGAAGCCGUAGUGAUCUAGUCAUGAGCAGGUUGAAGGCUGGGUGAAUCCAGCUGGAGGACCGAACCGACCCCCGUUGAAAAGUUGGCGGAUGACUUGUGAUUAGCGGAGAAAUUCCAAUCGAACACGGCGAUAGCUGGUUCUCCCCGAAAUAGCUUUAGGGCUAGCGUUGAACGAAUCUACCCGGAGGUAGAGCACUGAAAUCAUGCGGGCGGCAUCUCGCCGUACCAAAUGAUAUCAAACUCCGAAUGCCGGGCAAGAAUAUUCAGCAGUCAGACUGUGGGUGAUAAGGUCCAUGGUCAAAAGGGAAACAGCCCAGAUCAUCAGAUAAGGUCCCAAAAUUUACGCUAAGUGGAAAAGGAUGUGGAGACGCGCAAACAGCUAGGAGGUUGGCUCAGAAGCAGCCAUCCUUCAAAGAGUGCGUAACAGCUCACUAGUCGAGUAUCUCUGCGCCGAAAAUUAACCGGGGCUAAGCGUAAUACCGAAUCUAUGGAUUUAUACUUAGGUAUAAGUGGUAGGGGAGCGUUCCAUACAGCAUUGAAGGUAUACCGUAAGGAGUGCUGGAGCGUAUGGAAGUGAGAAUGCCGGUGUGAGUAGCGAGAUGUGGGUGAGAAUCCCACACACCGAAAAACCAAGGUUUCCAGGGGAAGGUUCGUCCGCCCUGGGUAAGUCGGGACCUAAGGCCAGGCCGAAAGGCGUAGUCGAUGGACAGCAGGUUGAUAUUCCUGCACCCGCGAGUAAAGUGAUGGAGUGACAGAUAGGGUUAACCCAAGUCCUGAAUGGAUUGGGCAAGGCAAGCAGGAGAGUGGCGUAGGCAAAUCCGCGCCGGAUACUCAAAGGCUUGACUCAAGCGAACGCGCGAGCAAGUAGUGAAGAGGGUGAUACCAGGUCUCAAGAAAAGCUUCUAGCGAUAAUUUACUAGCGGCCCGUACCAAAACCGACACAGGUGGUUGAGGCGAGUAGCCUAAGGUGAGCGAGAGAACUGUUGCCAAGGAACUCGGCAAAUUGACCCCGUACGUUAGCAAUAAGGGGUGCUCGAAAGAGCCGCAGUGAAUAGGCCCUAGCAACUGUUUAACUAAAACAUAGCUCUCUGCGAAGUCGCAAGACGAAGUAUAGGGGGUGACACCUGCCCGGUGCUGGAAGGUCAAGGGGAUUUGUCAGACGCAAGUCGAAGCAUUGAACCGAAGCCCCAGUGAACGGCGGCCGUAACUAUAACGGUCCUAAGGUAGCGAAAUUCCUUGUCGGGUAAG
rnacentral:rRNA from 1 species